GCAACCCGACUACAUGAAGCUGGAAUCGCUAGUAAUCGCGAAUCAGAAUGUCGCGGUGAAUACGUUCCCGGGUCUUGUACACACCGCCCGUCACACCAUGGGAGUCGGAAAUGCCCGAAGUCAGUGACCCAACCGUAAGGAGGGAGCUGCCGAAGGUGGAGCCGGUAAACUGGGGGUGAAGUCGUAACAAGGUAAC
rnacentral:rRNA from 1 species